AUUACUUUGGCAGAUUAGUGCAUUAAAUUUAGAAUUUAAAUAUUAUAAAAUUAUAAAGUAAUA
rnacentral:tRNA from 1 species